GUGGUUGUCGCUCAGUGGUAGAGCACUCACCUAGCAUGUGCAAGGCCCUGGGUUCAAUCCUCAGCACCACA
rnacentral:tRNA from 1 species